rnacentral:rRNA from 1 species
CAGUCGAGCGAUCAAUGGGAGCUUGCUCCCUGAGAUUAGCGGCGGACGGGUGAGUAACACGUGGGCAACCUGCCUAUAAGACUGGGAUAACUUCGGGAAACCGGAGCUAAUACCGGAUACGUUCUUUUCUCGCAUGAGAGAAGAUGGAAAGACGGUUUACGCUGUCACUUAUAGAUGGGCCCGCGGCGCAUUAGCUAGUUGGUGAGGUAAUGGCUCACCAAGGCGACGAUGCGUAGCCGACCUGAGAGGGUGAUCGGCCACACUGGGACUGAGACACGGCCCAGACUCCUACGGGAGGCAGCAGUAGGGAAUCUUCCGCAAUGGACGAAAGUCUGACGGAGCAACGCCGCGUGAACGAAGAAGGCCUUCGGGUCGUAAAGUUCUGUUGUUAGGGAAGAACAAGUACCAGAGUAACUGCUGGUACCUUGACGGUACCUAACCAGAAAGCCACGGCUAACUACGUGCCAGCAGCCGCGGUAAUACGUAGGUGGCAAGCGUUGUCCGGAAUUAUUGGGCGUAAAGCGCGCGCAGGUGGUUCCUUAAGUCUGAUGUGAAAGCCCACGGCUCAACCGUGGAGGGUCAUUGGAAACUGGGGAACUUGAGUGCAGAAGAGGAAAGUGGAAUUCCAAGUGUAGCGGUGAAAUGCGUAGAGAUUUGGAGGAACACCAGUGGCGAAG